rnacentral:lncRNA from 1 species
UUACUCUUGAUUACUUCCUGAUUUUCCAGCAUCAAACUGUGUGGCAACAGAUUGACCACUUAACAUUUCAAAAGGUGGCUGCCGUGUUGUCUGCGCAAUGAAGAGAUUGGUUUUUUGCGGAUGUGACACCCAAGCUAUGAGUUUGAUAAUGUAAAACAGAGAUAGACCUUGAUGAACAAUUUUGGUAUACUUUGAAAAAUGAUACUAAUCUCAGUCUUCUCAGCAUAUUUUGCAUAUUAUUACAUAACUUUAAAACUUGAAGUUGCAACAUUUUCUUGUAUCUGAGGUUUGGUAUACUUUGAAAAAUGAUACUAAUCUCAGUCUUCUCUGCCUAUUCCUCCAAUUGGCGUAUAUUUGUCAGAUGAGCUGUUAUCCUUGAAGUCUUUA